rnacentral:sRNA from 1 species
UCACAAGGAUAGGAUUAAGCCGCGCGC